UACAGAGGUGGCAAGCGUUGUUCGGAAUUACUGGGCGUAAAGGGCGCGUAGGCGGCCUUGUAAGUCCUGUGUGAAAUCCCCCAGCUCAACUGGGGAACUGCACAGGAGACUGCUUGGCUUGAGUUCGGGAGAGGGAAGCGGAAUUCCGGGUGUAGCGGUGAAAUGCGUAGAUAUCCGGAGGAACACCGGUGGCGAAGGCGGCUUCCUGGACCGACACUGACGCUGAGGCGCGAAAGCCAGGGGAGCGAACGGG
rnacentral:rRNA from 1 species